AAGCAGGCAGAUCCAAUUUUCUGCCACCGAAUACAUUAGCAUGGGAUAAUGGAAUAGGACCCUGUCCUCCUAUUUUCAGUUGGUUUUGGCAGCGCGAGGACUAGGGUAAUGAUUAAUAGGGAUAGUUGGGGGCAUUAAUAUUUAAUUGUCAGAGGUGAAAUUCUUGGAUUUAUGAAAGAUUAACUUCUGCGAAAGCAUCUGCCAAGGAUGUUUUCAUUAAUCAAGAACGAAAGUUAGGGGAUCGAAGACGAUCAGAUACCGUCGUAGUCUUAACCAUAAACGAUGCCGACCAGCGAUUAGGAGACGUUGAAUACAAAACACCACCAUCGGUUGCGGUCGUCCUUGGCGUCUCGGUUUCGGCCGGGGCGCGGGGAUGGCUUAGCCC
rnacentral:rRNA from 1 species